UACGAAGGGGGCUAGCGUUGUUCGGAAUUACUGGGCGUAAAGGGCGCGUAGGCGGCGUGUCAAGUCAGGCGUGAAAGCCCCGGGCUCAACCUGGGAACCGCGCUUGAGACUGGCAUGCUCGAGUUCGGGAGAGGAUGAUGGAAUUCCCAGUGUAGAGGUGAAAUUCGUAGAUACUGGGAAGAACACCGAUGGCGAAGGCAGCCAUCUGGACCGACACUGACGCUGAGGCGCGAAAGCGUGGGGAGCAAACAGG
rnacentral:rRNA from 1 species